CAUUAGGUGACUGAAAGGAUAGUGCUGGUCUCUUAAACCAUUUAAUAGUAAGUAACGACUACUCCUAUGGA
rnacentral:tRNA from 1 species